rnacentral:rRNA from 1 species
UACGGAGGAUGCGAGCGUUAUCCGGAUUUAUUGGGUUUAAAGGGUGCGUAGGCGGGUUAUCAAGUCAGCGGUAAAAUCGUGGAGCUCAACUCCAUCCAGCCGUUGAAACUGGGGAUCUAGAGUGUGCGAGAGGUAUGCGGAAUGCGUGGUGUAGCGGUGAAAUGCAUAGAUAUCGCGCAGAACUCCGAUUGCGAAGGCAGCAUGCCGGCUCCACACUGACGCUGAGGCACGAAAGCGUGGGUAUCGAACAGG